UGGGACCCCAGUAUCCCUGCCAGGCCUCCUCCAAUAAGCCCCUCUGGGCCUGCAGGGAGAGGAGGAGCCUUGCCAUAUAAACUGUAUUUUUAGCUCCCUGUGUGUCUCCCCAGCUGCUAUAAGACACCUCUCCCCGCCCCCAGCCCGCGGCUUGGCUGGAGGUUCCUGUCAGACAGCUGGGCAAAGGGGCGCUGUGGAAACUGAGUUUCUUGAACACCAGGAAGUGUUUUAUUUGGUUUUGUGUCCUCAGCAAGUAUCACAGUUUCUCACACACACAGUAGGUACUCAGUAACUGUGUGUUGGACAGAUGGACAGAUGGUGGAUGGGUGGGUAGAUGGAUGAGCGAUGGAUGAUGGGUGGGUGGGUAGAUGAUGAGUCGGUGGAUAAAUGAUGGACAGAUUGAUGGAUGAUAGGUGAGUGGAUAGACAGAUGAAGCAUGGAUGGAAGGAUGGAUGGAUAGAUGGAUGGAAAAUAAAGGCCAAUCAUCCUUCACUUGCCUUCCUUGCAAGGCCAUCCCUCUUUUUUUUUUCAAUGAACAUUUAUUCAGUUCAAAAUUGGUACACACACUGUGUAAGGCCCAAAGGUUACACAGAUGAAUAAAACAAAGCUCCUGCCCACAUGAAAAGUAAGAUGUUCAGGAGCACACAUUCAGGGCCUGACUUCCUGGGUUCAAAUCCCAAAUCUUCCAUCAACUAGCUGUGCAACCAUGGCAGCUUUCCCUAACUUGCCCUCCAUGCGAUGGGGGUGACGGCCAUUUUUAAUCAACCCCAUAAGGCUAUUGGGGUCUAAAGGAGUCACCAAAUGUACAGCGCUUGGAAUAGGGCCUGGCACCCGGCAAAGUCUCUGUGCAUAUUGGCUGCCAUGAUACUAAGCCAGGAGCUGGUAUGGAAACAAAGACAUCUAAUGUGAUGCGGUGAGCAACAGGAACGCACGCAAGCAGAUGGAAAGAGCAAGCAAUUAAUUGUGCCUUGAAGGUUAUGACAAGCAAAACUUUUCAGAGGGAAAUGUUUGAGCCAGGCCACUAAACCAGGAGUUUUCUGGGUAGGGUGGGAAAAUCCAGGCUCCAAGAGGUUAUGAUUCUGACUGGGUUCACCCAGCUCUAAGCAGAAAACCAUCUAGGCCCCUUCCCACUGGAAUGACAGGUGAGGGCAGAAGGUGGGCGAAGAGACUCCUACAGGGCCAGCCGGGGUGCCUGCUGUCCAGGCUUAGAAACAUGACAGGUCCUCUUGAGAAGGAUGACAGCAGGGGGAGUUGGGUUUCAGGCCGUUGGCAUUGGCCUCGGUGGUGCCCUUUCUGUUGGCCUCGGAGAGUCCAGACAGUGGCCCAAGCUCCUCCUCACUCUUUCCACCCACACAAACCCACCCCCGUGGCCUGAGUUGUCCUACCUCUCCACAAUGGCACCUGCCCCAAAAUAGCUUCCAUGUGAGGGCUAGAGAAAGGAAAAGAUUAGACCCCUGCAUGAAAGAGGAGGGGACAGGGGGAGGGGAGAGAGGGAGCGAGCAGCUGUCAACUGAUCUCUGUCGGGCAUCUGGGAAGGUAUAAAACCCCUUUGGUCUGGGCAGCCUCAAACCCCAGCUGUCAGAGCCAGGACGCCCAGUACGCCCGCACUUGCUCUGUUUCUCUUCUGCAGACUGUGCCAUGGGGGCUCAGCGACGGGAAUGGCAGCUGGUGCUGAACGUCUGGGGGAAGGUGGAGGCUGAUGUCGCAGGCCAUGGGCAGGAGGUCCUCAU